rnacentral:lncRNA from 1 species
AGCUCCGGCCGGCAGAUCGGCGCGCCGCCCCUACAGCGAACGUCACAAACGACGUAUCAAGCGGAAGCUCAUAGACGAAGCAGAUUACUACGGUAUCAAAAUUUCUUCAAGUCCGGAUUCGUCACCAUCGCCAAAUGCAAGCACAAUAUCUGAAGUUCUGGACAGCUCUGGUAUUUCUAUGCGGAAGUAUGCCAAAUUAGCCGCCACAACACCAACCCUGCCGAGACAGCACAACGUUCGACGCUUCCGGCAACAGCUCAACGAACAAAUCGCCAUCACUGACACUGAUCAUGGUGCUCGGAGGCAGCUCCGUGACCUGCUUACGGCUAUGAGACCCUCCGUCAGAAACGGACCUGACAAUUCGGUCCGCGUGAAGAUAUCAGGCGAUGGUGCACCGGUGGGGAAGUACCGGAGUUUCCUGAAUCUUUCCGUGAGCCUCCCUGAUGAGCCGACACCAGCACAACGACAGCCGAGACUCCUCGAGAUCAGCACAGCAAAAGAAUGCUGGUCAACUCUACAGACACUCCUUAGACCACUCAACAAUGAAAUUGAAGAAAUCCAACGCGACGGAUUAGAUGUCGACGGCUCUCAUCUUUCGGUUGUAUUCUUCUUUGGUGCAGAUUAUAAAUUCAUUCUCCUAUCGUGUGGGAUGAAGGACGCAACAUCCAAUCAUGCAUGUAUUUACUGUGAAUCCAAAAAGUGCAACUAUUUUCGACAGGGGGGGCUUAAGUCAGGAAGGGCUUUAAAGUUGGUGAUCCAGGUGUAGCCCACAACCCUCUUCUACCUGCCAUUCCGGUCGAUCGGAUUGUGAUCGACGUUCUCCACCUUUUCCUUCGGACAUCAGACAAGCUUCUGAUGAUGAUCUGUCGUGAGGUGCCGGAGGAAAAGGUGGCCGAGUUCGUAGGCCACGUUCAGCAGCAGAUAACGUGCCGCGGAAAGAUUGUGGCACGGGAUGGAAAAAUUGAGUUCCAAAACUGUGACUCGAAGGAUCGCGUCAAAAUUCUCAAUUAUCUUGUGUCGUCCGAUGUCCUUGUGAAAAUCAUUGGUCAGAAGCGGGGUACUCUACUUCGGCUAGUACUCGUUAAAUAUGACAAGGCACUGGAGGUUCUACGUAAAAGCGCUGACGAUGAAGAAGUUAGACGCGAAUGCUUGGGCCUCAUGAAAAUGUAUAUAUCUGUCUUUCAGUCGGCGAUGGUGACACCCUAUUUCCACAUUAUGUUUUUUCAUUGUGGGGAUAUCGUGGCUCGUGUGGGAUGCCUGAACGUCUUCACUCAGCAGCACGUUGAAAAACUCAAUCAUUCUGUCACGUCAACAUUCCUUACCACGACAAAUUUUACUAACGGCGUUCGGCAAGUCCUUCAAAAUCAUGGGAGAAGAAUUCUGUAUCCUCUGGAAAAUGUGCCUCUCUGAAACUGUGCUCUUUCGUGAUCAUCGAGCUUGACGACAUUACAAGUGGCAAUGGAUGUAGCGUAAAUAUUGCAAGCGCACGAAUAUUGAAAUAUACCGACAGUGUUGAUGUCCAUUCGUUUACUGGUUUUUAAUAAUGUGGCGUUGGAUGUGUGGUUGAAGUGUCAUGCAUUUUUU